AGCACUCUUGGAUUUAGCCCCUCAGCGAUAAUCCUAGAUGCUGUAUGUUGGAUGUGGCCUUUCAGAGAAGGAUAACAUGACACUGGGUGUUUUCACACCAUUAUCCCAGGAAGAUCCUACUUAUCUACAAGACCAUAAGCUCUGUGACAACAGCAUCUGAUAACCAGACGAGACCACAAGUUCCGCUUGGUCUGGCACACAUAACUGACCAUGAGACCAGUGCGGACACCAGUCAAACAUGCCUUGACCAUGGCAGCUGAAUGGGGAAGUGUUACUAUGUUUGGAUUGGAAAAGUGAUAAAAUUCAGAGGUAACAGGGAGAGCUGGAAGCUUCCCCACCAAUCAAGACCUUGAGGAUCAGUGAGACAUCACCUGGACCCAUGGUGGUGAAGUUCGAGGGGAGUACUUUCCAAGCCUUAUUACUACUUGAACAACUAAGCUGUUGGAUAAUGCACAAGGCUGACAAGUUUUUGGUGGCAUAAAGGAAGAACACAAAGGUCACUCUGGUACCUAAUUCACUCUUUGUUCACUAAGUAAAAGCAAUAUUGAAAAGUGUGUUUUGCCUCUAGUGCCAUUUUAACAUUGAUCAAUUUGAAGAAACAAAAAUUCCUUUCACAAAGUCUCACUGAGAACAUUUUGUU